AACGAACGCUGGCGGCAUGCCUAACACAUGCAAGUCGAACGAGACCUUCGGGUCUAGUGGCGCACGGGUGCGUAACGCGUGGGAACCUGCCUUUAGGUUCGGAAGAACUCAGAGAAAUUUGAGCUAAUACCGGAUGAUGUCUUCGGACCAAAGAUUUAUCGCCUUUAGAUGGGCCCGCGUUGGAUUAGCUAGUUGGUGGGGUAAAGGCCUACCAAGGCGACGAUCCAUAGCUGGUCUGAGAGGAUGAUCAGCCACACUGGGACUGAGACACGGCCCAGACUCCUACGGGAGGCAGCAGUGGGGAAUAUUGGGCAAUGGGCGAAAGCCUGAUCCAGCAAUGCCGCGUGAGUGAUGAAGGCCUUAGGGUUGUAAAGCUCUUUUACCCGAGAUGAUAAUGACAGUAUCGGGAGAAUAAGCUCCGGCUAACUCCGUG
rnacentral:rRNA from 1 species